GUGAGCGCAGAGGGAGCUGAAGGCGCCGCGCGGGCUCGGGACCUGCCGCCCCCACCCGGUUGCCGAGGUCGGCGUCGCCGCCGCGGGGUUUCGGGGAGGCCUGCGCGCUGCGUGGCCUUCUCCCGGCCAGCCGUGCGGGCGGCUGGACCAGCAGCAGCAGGGAGGACUCGAGCGCCGGCGGCAGCAGCGACACCAUGGAUCUGUCUUUUAUGGCCGCACAGCUGCCCAUGAUGGGAGGCGCCUUCAUGGACUCGCCCAACGAGGACUUCAGCACCGAGUACUCCCUCUUUAACUCCUCCACCAACGUGCACGCGGCCUCCAACGGUCAGCCAGAGGAGCCGCCAAGGUCGUCCAACGAUGCCGUCUUGCUCUGGAUCGCCAUCAUAGCGACGCUGGGGAACAUUGUCGUGGUGGGGGUGGUGUAUGCCUUCACCUUCUGAGCCGCGGGAGCUCCGGGACGGCCCCCCCUGCGCUGGGCUCACAGCGGGGCACUGUCGCUGUUGGCCUUUGGCUGCGCCCGCGUUCUAGAACCAGGAGUGCUGACCAGGUGCGCGGUCUCUCCAAGGGGAGCCACCGUGCGUCUGGGAUUUCCCCAAGCGGCCCUGAUUUCAGAUACUCCAGGCUGUGGUCCAGCUGAUCCAGAAAAUAUGGGAGCCUGGGCUUCCAGCCCCCGGAGGCACGCCGGGGCAGAGCCUUCGAGGAGUAGAUUGGGGAGUUCUUGAAACUGCAUUCCACGAACUCGAGACCAGAGGGAGCAGCCAGUCAGUUUAAAAUACAGACAUGGUUGGAUGAUCCUUUGCUGGCACUAAAUAAUCACUUCUGUGUCUCGUUUUUCUGCCAGCUUACCUGAGGGCAAGGGCAGCCCUCAGAACUUGAGUGUUGCCACCCCAAUCUGGUUUCCCAGUCGACCCCUCGGAAUAUUGAUGGUGGUCACUUGAAGGGUCAUGGAACGUUCCUCAUUUGACUUGGAAAUGGCAUCUUUGUUACCAGACACCUGGCCCCUUAUGAAACCCAAGGAUGGGGGAUUCCUGGUGACAUGGAUUUCAGGGGUGGCAGUGAUGGUGGUUUUUAUCUGCUGGAUGGACUUUCUCUUCUUUGUGAAAAGAGGAGAAGGUGCCUUUAAAAAUUAGAUCUGCCAGGCAGUUAACUCUUUAGAUCACCCACUGAAGAUGCUCUUCCCUCUCUGAGAAAUCACGGAAGUUUAGGGAUGAGGUGUGUGUACCUCAUCGAUUGGCGCGUGGGCGGGAGAGGGGCGUGAUUUGCCUGUGGUCCCAGGGCAUGUAAAGGCAGGGGUCAGAGCAGGAGGGACAUUUCCUGCCCAUCAGUUCUGGGCUGUCUCUGCUCCAUCUAAGCACUGUCUUGAGCAGAUUCCUGCCUUCUCAGCUGCCCUGGGCAGAAUGUCCCGAGGGUCUGGAAGCUGUGUGCAGGGUGGGCAGGGAGUUAAGGCACCCACACUGUACACUGGGUUUGGCUGCCGUGCAGCCUUGCACGUGUAAGUAUGCACCUGCACUGCCUGAGUCAGUUCCCCACAAGCUUAAGUGGCAGCUGCUGGGGGGCUGGCAAGCCUGGGAGCCCCUCAUCAGGGCCAGAGCGCUGCUGGCCUUUGGGUGCGCCCACGUGCUGGGGGCAUCAGUAUAGGAAAGGGCUCACUUUUCUUCAUGGCGCAGUGCCCCCCUUCCUGAAACAGCUCUCCCUGUGCCCCCAAGAGUGGAACGAGCUCAGACACGGGCUUGCUCGCCUACAAGCCAGGAGUGGCUUUCUUCUUCCUCCCUGCUCUGUACAGAAGAAAAUAGAUGGCAUAAACUCCUCCUCUGUGGUUGAGAGACUUAAAAGACCGGUACAGAAGCCCUCAUGCAUACUUGGGGACAAUUGCAAAAAGGCUGCAUUUGUCACUGUGGUCUCAGGAGAAAUGAGUGUUUUUGAUAGGCAAAGGGACAUCUUAAUUGUCCAGAGGCAGCCGCUCGUCUGUGGGAGGUUGGCACCGAGCUGCCAUGAUAACAGGAUUACCGGCCCACGCUGCAGACAGCGCCGGCCGCCAGCCCUUAUUGGCCGCAUCUGUCACUGCCGCCUGGUGUCCAUCCACAAGUGCUUCAGUUCAAGUGGAGGUCAUGAGCACAGAGAGCUGGCGUGACCUUUGUGGAGCGGGAGAAGGGCUGUGGUACCUUUGGCCUGGACUCCUUCUGGAAUCGCUGAGCGGGCCCUGCUGUCUGGAGGCAGGACCAGCCUGGAGGCGGGGCUGGAUGGCAGUCAUUGUGAGCACAUCAUUCCAGCUGCUUCUCCAGCAAACUCCUCUCCAUCAAGGCCUGGCAUCUGCCCCGUGAGCAAGGUCUUUCUUAGACACGCGGCUUUAUGAGGGAACCCAAGGGGGGGACUCCAGAGCCAGGGUGGGGAGACAAGGUGUUUUCAUGGGGGCCAUCCAGCCCAAAUACCCUGAUUCUUUGUCUUCUGACCCCACAUCCCCAGGGAGCCUGCAGCCCUGUAAGAGGCAGGUGGCAGCUCCCCGUUCUCAGAUGGCCUGUGGAAAUGGCUGUGGGAGAGAAGGUUCUGUGUUUGAUAACAGUGGAAGGAGUGGGGAAGAGAGGAAAGGUUGGCUUUUAGCUCUAAGGAGACCACCAGCCUCCCAGGGCAGCCCUGGUGGGCCCUGUGUUCGCUGGGCAUUUCUGGGCACAGAGGUCUCCCCUCUGAAGGUUUUGUUUUCCCUGACAUGAAAACGGACAUGUUGUCAGUUAAAUUCAACUUUCAGGUCUUUCUUUUCAGUGUCAGGACCAUAGAUGGUCAAGAGCUUUAAAGAGCUUCUUGUCUAAACCGUGCACCAUACGGAUCACAAUGACUUGCCCAGGGUCAACCCAUCUCCAUCUCCUGUGAAUUUUUUUCCACCUUCACUCAGAUAGCAGCAGGGAUCGAUGCGCAUGUUAGAUUUCUAGCCAGAGUGCACUGCCCCUUCCCUCCUGCUGCAGUUGGGGUUCUGUCUUUGAUGUCAAGUAAAGGCCGAGAGAUCUGACAUCAUCGCUUGAGUCUUGUGUCCAAGCCUUGUGCCAGAUUCAUAGGCACAGAUUUAAUCCCUACGCUUACCUUAGAGCAUCAUUGCUCCAACACACGGUUAAAGGACCAGAAGCUCCGAGGAGCGGAAUAACUUGCCCGCGGCCACACGGCAGGAAAGUGAGGCUUAAAGCCGGACUCUUUCUGGAAUAACGCCAUGCUGCCUUCAGUGGCUGGGUGGCGCCUCCAGGGCACAUUUAAACCAGGCCCUGAGUCUCCAGAGGCCGUUUCCCGAGCUCCCACAUCAUGACGUGGCCUCUGCAGGUUGAAGUCUCUGACCAUCCUUGGAAUGGGGCAUGUUCAUCCCCCCUUCUCUGCCCAGGCUUUGGGGGGGUGGUCCCUGUUGCCUGCACCGCCCCCCCCCCCCUUUAAGUUGAACUCAAGUCUCUCUGCAUGGCCAGAGAAGUUCCCAGAGACCAGCUUUCUUGGGACCCAUGAAGAAGGCCCUGACCCAGACCCGGAGCCUCAUAGAGGGACCCACACGAGGAGUGAGGCUCACGCAGCCAGAAUUGAUAAGGAGAGUCAUGGGAUGGUCUGUGAUGCAGGCUGGGCCCCAGCCCAGACUCAGGUCUUCCGCUGAGCCCCAGGGCUCUCCCGAGCAGCUGGGGAUGGCUGCUCCUCUCUCGGACCCCAGCCUGGGGCUCCCGUUCUGGCUUCUCCCAUGUGAGGCUGGCCCCUGAGCCCGCCCUGACUUGAUGGGUCCGUGCUGAGGAAGGAGGGGUUGCCUCUUCAGUAGCUGUUCCUCAGAGAAGGGGUCCUACCAUUGCUGGAAUAUGGACCCCUGCAUGCUUCUGCAUUUCCCCUCUGCCAGCCGUGGGUGUCGCACACCUGUGUGUGUUUGUGCUUCACCGCACAGACCAGCACUUGCUUUAUGAGGUCAUGAGUUGCAGUCCUUGGAGCUUUGGAGGAGAGGCCAGGCCAGGGGACACUUUAGCCGGGCAUGUCCUAAGGGGAUUCCGCCUCCUAUAGGCCUUGGGAGAGUCAACCGCUCUGCCGGCCCCUGCUCUGUCUUUCCUGCCCUUUCCAUGGGAUUAAGUUAAGAGGCAAAUGAGACUCCCUUGACCCCGUCUACCCCCCGGAGAAAGAUGCUUAUACUUCCUUUCAGGGGUCCCCCGGAAUCUGAGGGAGAAAAGCAGGGAGGACAGGCUAGUACUACUGGCCUCGAGAGACAACAGGCCAUUUUCCAGCUUGUUCUGAACGGAAGGACUCGCUGCCCGCCAACCCACUAGCAUCUGUCGGAAUCCCUCCCUGGAGACUGGAGACACUUGGCUGCCAUCGACACUGCUGUCCGAUUCCUUCCAGACAAAUGGUCCUCUCCUUCUGCAGGAACUUGACCUUCCCUCAUUAUUAGUAGUGAUAUUAUUAACAAUGAUUAUUGCUGUCAUUACAC
ensembl:lncRNA